GCGGGGCCAGCCGCUCACCCGCCUGCUCUUCAACCGGCACCUCACGGCCGACCUGCUCCGCAUCAUCACCAGGCACAGGAAGGUGAUGGCAGAGAAGGUAGACGUGGAUCACAUCCUGAAGGCACGCAGCAGCAGGGAGUUCGACGCGCGCUACACGGCUGUGGUGUUUGGCUACGGGACGUGCAAGGAGGAUUACCGCGCCGCCAGCCCCGCGCACACAGU